GGAGAAGUCGUAACAAGGUUUCCGUAGGUGAACCUGCGGAAGGAUCAUUGUACACACAAUCAAGCAAACCAGUGAACUGUGUCGUCCCUCGAGGGAUCGCACCCGGAGGUGCGGUCGCCGACGGCCUGCCGGUCCCCUCCUUCGGGGGGUGGCCUUCACAGGUGCCGAGUGGUUUAUGGCACGUCGUCGGCCGGGGCUCUCCUCGGUACUCCUCGAUUCUCCGAGGGGCCAUCUCCCCCCCUUACACAAGGGGGGGGGGGGGANGGGUCCCCCCCCCCGGGCGGGCUAUGGGGCAUCCGGGGCCGCGUUUUCCACAACAACAAUGAGCAACUACACAUUGUGAGACUGAGCUUCUGGCCCCCCCCAGGGGGGGGCCGAAAUCGAGAAUCGAAAAACGACUCUCAGCAACGGAUAUCUUGGCUCUUGCAACGAUGAAGAACGCAGCGAAAUGCGAUACCUAGUGUGAAUUGCAGAAUUCCGCGAAUCAUCGAGUCUUUGAACGCAAGUUGCGCCCGAGGCUUGUCCCGAGGGCAUGCCUGCCUGAGCGUCACCGCAAUCCCACCGGGGUCUACUCCCCGAGUGAAGCUGGCCGUCCGUGGCCCGGCGUCGGAGCCUGUGGCCGCGGUCGGCUGAAAUGGAGCGUUCUGGACGUAGCCGAAACCGGGAGGCCGCGAGAAGGUGAUUCGCCCAAAAUACCGGGCGGAGUCUAUUUGACAGCGCCUCCCGUUUCGGAGUUCCACUGAACCGGUCGCAGGACUCACACGAUAGUGAGGUGUCCCAGCUUGGACCUCAGAUCAGGCAAGAUUANCCAA
rnacentral:rRNA from 1 species